UACGUAGGCAGCAAGCGUUGUUCGGAGUUACUGGGCGUAAAGAGUGUGUAGGCUGUUCUCUAAGUUUGGUGUGAAAUCUCCCGGCUUAACUGGGAGGGUGCGCCGAAAACUGGAGGGCUUGAGUAUGGGAGAGGAAAGCGGAAUUCCUGGUGUAGCGGUGAAAUGCGUAGAUAUCAGGAGGAACACCUGUGGUGUAGACGGCUUUCUGGACCAUCACUGACGCUGAGACACGAAAGCGUGGGAGC
rnacentral:rRNA from 1 species